rnacentral:rRNA from 1 species
UACGUAGGGGGCAAGCGUUGUCCGGAUUUAUUGGGCGUAAAGAGCGUGUAGGCGGCUUGGCAAGUCCGCUGUGAAAACUCGAGGCUCAACCUCGAGACGUCGGUGGAAACUGCCUCGCUAGAGUCCGGAAGAGGAGAGUGGAAUUCCUGGUGUAGCGGUGAAAUGCGCAGAUAUCAGGAAGAACACCCGUGGCUAAGGCGGCUCUCUAGUACGGUACUGACGCUGAGGUGCGAAAGCGUGGGGAGCAAACAGG